rnacentral:tRNA from 1 species
UUAUUUGUGGUAUUAUAUAAUAAAUAAAUGUUAUAUAAAUAUCAAUAAUUAAUAUAUUUAUUAAUCAAAAAUUU